GUCUAUGACUGUAGCGUAUUUCCCAAACACACGCAGGAAUUCUAAUUCGUAAUAUGGUGAUGGAUUGGUCCAGAGAACUACUGAUAUCUGAAGGCAAGUUGAAAGGUUGUAUGUGUGGUUAGCCUUGAUCGGUUUAAUUACUUUUACGCCUUGUAAUGUAAACUUUAAAAAGAUAAAGAAAACGGGUAAAACAACUCUUCGGCGCAUUUAAAGCGGCGUAGCACGUAGCACUAAUUCCAUAUCCGCUACACACUGCGUAUUAACGUCCUACAAACUAGGCCUACAUGUAGUAAUUCGGUACUGUAACAAGUAGUUUAAUCCUUCGGAUUCAAUAAACCCACCUACAUGCUCCCGAUGAGCCUGGAGUUUCCGAUACACAAUCAUUUUUACCCAUUCAGUUUUCAUUCUCCAUUAACAAACAGAGUGGUACUAUUUAAGACUCGUGCCUCGAGUCCUUGCUAGUUACUCAUGCUAUGCAAAUUUCAUUAGUUGCACAUUUAUUUCGCUUGUAGUAUAUUGGAGGAUUCUGAUCCAUAGCGAAAGAGUGACUGCCAAGGAACAGUUCGUAGUACGGGCAAAAACAUACAGAAAGCUUUGCUGUCUUCGUACUAUGGAUAAUAACUAAUUGUUGGCUAGAAAUAAAAAUUAAAAGUAGAUAAAUAGCUAGGUAAUUGGAACAUUAAUAAAGCAAAACACAGAUACGUACACAUGAUUCCUUUUGGCAAAACGAAAAAGCUCAACUAGGCUAUAUUUAAUGAAAACACACGGCUACCAUAGAAACUAGGUUUACAUCAUCUCCAGCACUACGCUAGUAGCUACGCACCCAAAUACGUCACAGCAUGUCGCAAAGCUAGAGGCGUAUUGUCUCCAUAGAAACGAAACAGUACACUCAAAUUCCUGAAUGGUUUCCUAGCAGCAGUACAGUCUUCGAUAUUACAGUAUAAACACAGGUAACGAGAAAUAACGUGGAGGUUUAAAUUGUAAAAGUUUUGCGAAACAAAUUCUUGCAAAUCAUACUACAUUGAUAAUUUUUCAAAAAGUUUUGGACGACUGGGUAAUUGUUGCGACAGAAUAUAAAAAAAAACGCUUGGCAGUCGACCUGCAGAAUGACUCCUCUGUGGGAGCUUAUGAUUGUUUUCAAAACACUUUUACUUGCACAAAAGAAAUUAAUAUAUCGCCUUCCGGCAGAAAGCAUAACACUUCCACAUGCAGAAUAUGAGAUAUAGGCUACAGGAUGCCGGUUGACGAAUUAUAAUAUUAUUCCCUGCUCGCGUUUUAACGGCUUAUCACAUUAUAACGACUACAUAUUAAAUGUAAAGGAUCGUGUGGUGUAAUCUUCAUUCCAAAUCUUAAUAGCGCAAUAUGACCAUGUUCUAACGAAAUCUCUCGCUUUUUUCCCGGACAUUAACGUUUGUAAUAUUUACAAGCAACAGACAGAACUAUACCAAGACCAUCCGGAAAAUGACCACAGAUGUGCUAUCCCUAUUGAUCGAGUUACAACGCAAUACACUCCUAUCUAGUACACGGUCCUGGUGAGCAUGGGGCAUAAUGCACAGAACAUCCUGGAUAGGAAGCUGGUUUAUGCAAAAAAAGACACAAUAUCCUCAAAACUGCAUGUUUUUAACUGAUGGAGGAAACCCGCAGAAACACAGAGAGAACAUUAAGCCUGCAGGCUACAGCGUUAACCACAGAACCGCCAAGCUGCCCAUAAUGGCGAACUUUUCCAAAUAACUAUCGAGCUUGUUUUCUCCCAGCUGACAGGGAACAUUCCAGGAAUUUCAGUUAACACUGUAUAGAGGUGUCCUCAAAGUUGGCAGAGAACAUUCCUACUGUAACGUUAAUGGAACUUUGUUUACACAUUUUACGUUUUAACAAAGGCGCUGUCAAUGUUAGCGCAAUAACAUUAUUAUUUGAACAUCAUUUUAACGUGAUGUUGAAGUAUAAAUAAAAACUUUACUUUAUGAAUUAACCACUAUACAUGUACAUACAGUGCAAACAGGCCACAACUUUAGAAGUUUAAAGCCAUCAUUGUACCUACUGUGCUGCCACAUGCUUUAUUUGUUCAUGCUUUAUUGGAGUCAGGUCCGUAGUGGCAGUAAUUUCAGCCCAGAAGUAAUAUGUCCAUUUAGUCUUUGCUCUGGCCUCUGUGACCCGGCCUGCAUAGAGCCAGAGGGGUUAGAAGAUGGAUGGACGGGUGGAUUAGCCCACAUAGCAAGAUGAGUCUGAACCAAAUCCAGGCUUAAUGUUGUUCAGAAAUUGCUGCAGAUCCGUAAACCAGAUCUGGCCCAGUGUCUUUUUGCAUAACCUGUUCCAAAGAUCAAAACUGGUCUGAGUCCACUUUUUGGAUUUGAAACAGAUAAGGGCCAAAUAUGGGCUAGGUUUACGUCGAAUGUUACCAAAUCUGGCCUGUAUCUGCACCACAGGCAAAAGUUAAAUUCAGAGGUGGCUGAAAUGGGGGCAGUAAGUGGCUCAGUAGCUCUGUGCUGGUGAUCCAAAAGUUGCUGGUUCAAACCUUCAGCAGAAGACCCUGUGUAUUACCUGCCCUUGGUCUUUGUCCCCCCUCCCUCCCCUAAGGUAUGCCAAGUGUGUUGGGGUCAGUGAAGGGAAGCAUCCCAAUGUACCUGUGUUUGUGCCAAUAACACAUGUUUGUUUUGUUGAAUGUGGCUCAGACUCUUGUCUGCUGAGCAGUUUGGCUCCAGGAUCCUCCCUUAAUAUAUGUGGCUGGUGAGUGACUCUGGGGUGCUGCAUGCUGUCUGAUCUCUGAGCCAUGAGCACAGGGGCAGCCAACACCCCCAGAGGUGGGGGUUAAAGGCCUUAUUCAAGGACCCACAGAUGUACAACCACUCCACUGGGGCCAGGGCUUGAACCAGUGACCUGCUUACAAACACAGAGGCUUAGUCCACUGAGCCACUUACCAGCUUCAGAGGAGGAAACCAGAGGAUCUGGUCAAAACCUGCAGAAUAUGCGGCGAACAUGCAAACUCCACACCCAGCCAGGAGGCAGGAUUCAAACCCGAAACCUUGGUGCUACCCAUCCAAUGCUACCCAUCCUGUAUCGUACCCAUACAUCCUGAAUAUAAUCCAUAUAAUGAAGAUCAUAGAAUACAGGCAUAUCACAGCACACUUCCAAAACAAACAAGACAAGUCAUCAGGCAGCAGGCAAAUGUGAAACAAAAAUUGUGGUUUUUCAUUGUUUUUUUUCCUCAGAGGAUAAACUGCUGUUUUCCUGGGCAACAGAAUCCGCUCUCCUCUGGAAUACAAAUAUCAGUAAUUUUGCAGGUUCGCUUAGGAAUAAGUAAGUAAAUAAGCAAGUAAAAUUUAUUGAUGAAGCACCUUUCACAGACAAGAGGUCACUUAGUGCCGUACAGUGCUAAAACAAAAGUGCCAUCAAAACAAAACACAAAGAAAAAAGAACAACUACCAAAAAUAGUAAUAAUAAAAAGAGUAUGCAAGCAGACGGCUACUCAGGCAGGUCAAGAAAACAAAUAAGCAUGAAUUGUAUGUUGUUUUUUCUACAGACAAGCUUGUGGAAUGUUGUUGUUUUCUUGACUUUGACUUUGUUCUUUGCAUAAGGGCGCCUUCUGAACCUGCGAGCGAACUUCACCGCUGUUGACUCUGGAUUAUGAAACGGAACACUGUCAACUCACUGGCCUGCUGGCUUCGUAUCCAUAGGGACAGCUGUGCCGUUUCCAAAGACUGCCAUGAGUAAAAUUUGUAUGGAUAAACUGGAAUAGGAUUUUUCUUUCUUGCUCAUUCUACCCUUGGCCUUCAGAGGUUGGGAAAGAGUGGCGGGGCAGGAUGGAAAAACUGUGAGUGUGAGAAUCCCGGACAGGACUGGUCAUGCUUGCUGGGGUUUACUGGCCUAUACUGGUACUAUGGUGUAUGAUGGCUGCUUGCGUAACCAUGGAGAUAACUGAGCUCAUUAGAUCCUGAGGCCCUAUUCAGUAAAAAAUGCAGUCUGACAUGCACAUUUUUUUUAGCCAACAGGCUAGCACUGGUUUGUUUUUUUUGUACUGGGCCAGUGUAAAUUGCCGCUUCAGCCAAGAAGGCGAGCUUAAUUUCAAGCCUUGAUUACACUGAACAUUAAUUUAUCCUGAAACCAAAUCAUGGUCUAAUGUUCGAGGCUAUAAUCUAGUGCAAGGGACUCCGGCCUUGACAGCUACUGAUAAAAAAUAAAUCUAAAAAAUAAAUUUAAAAAAAGCUGGGGAGAUAUAAAGUCACAAUAUCAAUCCCGGGGGGGGGUUGGCCACAAUUAGAGGUUUACAUAAGGGACAAGACUAUUUAAAAAAUAAGUCUAGAAUGUUUUAGAUGAUAAAAAGUCAUAUUUUGUUGUACGGGGAAACAAUACAAAGAGGUGAUGAUCCUCGUCGUCUGCACAAAGUCUGAGGUACGUGUCUAAAGUGAAAUGGGCAAAGAUUCUAACAUGCAUGUGCAGAAAGACCUGCGCAGCCGUGCAGCUUGCAUGCUGAUUCUGUGGAAGCCCGCGGUAUAGGAAACCAUUCAGAGUCGUUGCACAACCUGCAGUACUAUCAGAUCAGGAGGUGCUAGACAGGCCUGGUCUGAUACUUUAAAUACAUGUGUGCCAAUCACCUUCAGUGGAAAGUCAGUCACAAUUCACGCUAGAUUGUCAGUUUCCUAGUAAACAGUGUACCUGUGAAUUAACACGUGUUUGGUGUUAUUAAAUCAAGACCGUCUUCCUUAUACCUGUAGGUUUGUGUGACGUUUCAUUGGAAUCCCUCAUGUGCAUUAGUUCCGCUGGGCGUUAGCAUCUCCUGUCAAGGUCCGAAGACACGGCUCAUGCGGAUCGAAAUCUUUAACAGCCCAUAGUGUACGAUCUUAAAUCAGGACUCCAUUGUGCGUGUCUGUGUGUGCGCGUGUACCCUGCGAGGGCCUGACUUCCUGCCCGGCGUAACCCCAGCCUCAUGCUCUACUACCUGGGAUAAGUUUUUGGCCCGACACAAAUCCCAUUCCCACUGCGUGGUUACAGGAAAAGGAAAUUACAAUUAGAUGAUGAAGUUCAGUCUUCCAGUUCCCCUGGGUAGCAAAUCAGUCCAUUGAUCUGGCCAUCGUGUGGUCAGUGUCACAUGUCCUUGCCCCGGCCGGCUGAUUGGCUCUCGGUGUCACUUCGCUAUCAUGUAGGGAGCAGAGAGGAAGCCAUGAGGGUGUUAGUUGUUACCCCUAAAUGCGUCGCCUUAUUUUUAUGGUGAGCGUUUAAUGGCAAUGUAGCUUCUGACCUUGGAAGGCUUUCAGAUAAACUGAAGACAAUCAUCUCUUUUAUUUUUGUCAAUCACAAUAAAUAACCAUUGCAUUUCUUCUUCUUCUGUGUUCUAGUUUCUGUUUGUUAUGUUAGAUUUGGGAUUUUCAGUUUUUUUCUGCAGAAUAUUUCCUCAUGAAUCUACUUUGUUUUCCUGUAUGCUUCACAGUACAAACAUGUUUUGGAACAGCAUACUCUCGUUUCCAGGUAAAAAGUAGGAUCCUGUAAAUCAUUCUUAAACUGCUUUGUUGCCUUUGUGCUGGAUCUAGGAACUUUUGCAUAUUUUGCCACAUGUUUCACCUCAUACUGGA